rnacentral:rRNA from 1 species
GACAGAGGGUGCAAACGUUGUUCGGAAUUACUGGGCGUAAAGCGUGCGCAGGCGGUUGUGCAAGACCGAUGUGAAAUCCCCGGGCUUAACCUGGGAAUGGCAUUGGUGACUGCACGGCUAGAGUGUGUCAGAGGGGGGUAGAAUUCCACGUGUAGCAGUGAAAUGCGUAGAGAUGUGGAGGAAUACCGAUGGCGAAGGCAGCCCCCUGGGAUAACACUGACGCUCAUGCACGAAAGCGUGGGGAGCAAACAGG